GACGAACGCUGGCGGCGUGCUUAACACAUGCAAGUCGAACGGAAAGGCCCGCUUGCGGGUACUCGAGUGGCGAACGGGUGAGUAACACGUGGGCGACCUGCCCUCAGCUCUGGGAUAACUCCGGGAAACCGGUGCUAAUACUGGAUACGACUGCGCAUCGCAUGGUGUGUGGUGGAAAGUUUUUCGGCUGAGGGAUGGGCCCGCGGCCUAUCAGCUUGUCGGUGGGGUAAUGGCCUACCAAGGCGACGACGGGUAGCCGGCCGGAGAGGGCGACCGGCCACACUGGGACUGAGACACGGCCCAGACUCCUACGGGAGGCAGCAGUGGGGAAUAUUGCGCAAUGGGCGAAAGCCUGAAGCAGCGACGCCGCGUGGGGGAUGACGGCCUUCGGGUUGUAAACCUCUUUCAGCUCUGACGAAGCGAAAGUGACGGUAGGAGCAGAAGAAGCACCGGCCAACUACGUGCCAGCCGCCGCCGUAA
rnacentral:rRNA from 1 species